rnacentral:tRNA from 1 species
GGCAAGAUGGCCGAGCGGUCUAAGGCGCCAGACUCAAGUUUGCCCGAGUUCCUUCAUCAGUUCUCGAAAACUUCCACAUCUUCAAAUGUGGAGCAUUCUGGUCUCGAAAGAGGCGUGGGUUCAAAUCCCACUCUUGUCA